AGAGUUUGAUCCUGGCUCAGGAUGAACGCUAGCGGCAGGCUUAAUACAUGCAAGUCGAGGGGCAGCACAGGUAGCAAUACUGGGUGGCGACCGGCAAACGGGUGCGGAACACGUACGCAACCUUCCUUUAAGCGGAGAAUAGCCCAGGGAAACUUGGAUUAAUACUCCAUAAGAUUAUGGUGUGGCAUCACACAGUAAUUAAAGCUCCGGCACUUAAAGAUGGGCGUGCGGCUGAUUAGGUAGUUGGCGGGGUAACGGCCCACCAAGCCAACGAUCAGUAACUGGUGUGAGAGCACGACCAGUCACACGGGCACUGAGACACGGGCCCGACUCCUACGGGAGGCAGCAGUAAGGAAUAUUGGUCAAUGGACGCAAGUCUGAACCAGCCAUGCCGCGUGGAGGAUGAAGGCCCUCUGGGUUGUAAACUUCUUUUAUUUGGGAAGAAACCCAUCUUUUCUAAGGUGGUUGACGGUACCAGAUGAAUAAGCACCGGCUAACUCCGUGCCAGCAGCCGCGGUAAUACGGAGGGUGCAAGCGUUAUCCGGAUUCACUGGGUUUAAAGGGUGCGUAGGUGGGCAGGUAAGUCAGUGGUGAAAUCUCCGGGCUUAACCCGGAAACUGCCGUUGAUACUAUCUGUCUUGAAUAUAGUGGAGGUGAGCGGAAUAUGUCAUGUAGCGGUGAAAUGCUUAGAUAUGACAUAGAACACCAAUUGCGAAGGCAGCUCGCUACACUAUCAUUGACACUGAGGCACGAAAGCGUGGGGAUCAAACAGGAUUAGAUACCCUAGUAGUCC
rnacentral:rRNA from 1 species